AGUGAACGCUGGCGGUAGGCCUAACACAUGCAAGUCGAACGGCAGCACAGUAAGAGCUUGCUCUUACGGGUGGCGAGUGGCGGACGGGUGAGGAAUACAUCGGCAUCUACUUUUUCGUGGGGGAUAACGUAGGGAAACUUACGCUAAUACCGCAUACGACCUACGGGUGAAAGCAGGGGAUCUUCGGACCUUGCGCGAUUGAAUGAGCCGAUGUCGGAUUAGCUAGUUGGCGGGGUAAAGGCCCACCAAGGCGACGAUCCGUAGCUGGUCUGAGAGGAUGAUCAGCCACACUGGAACUGAGACACGGUCCAGACUCCUACGGGAGGCAGCAGUGGGGAAUAUUGGACAAUGGGCGAAAGCCUGAUCCAGCCAUACCGCGUGAGUGAAGAAGGCCUUCGGGUUGUAAAGCCCUUUUGUUGGGAAAGAAAAGCAGCAGGUGAAUACCCCGCUGUUCUGACGGUACCCAAAGAAUAAGCACCGGCUAACUUCGUG
rnacentral:rRNA from 1 species